GCGGGAUGAUGUUAGGUUAGAUGUAACCAGUUACGUGUUGUUGUGUCAUCAUGUAUAGUGUUGUGUCAAAAGUCAAAUAUAUAGAAAUAUAGGAGGAAUAAUCGUUACAUAUGGAUAUAUUGAAAGAAAAUAUGAAUUCACAAGAAGAAGAUAUGACAUAUAUGGAAAAUAUGAAUAAUUCUAAAAAAAAUUGCAGCAGAAAUAGUUGGAAAAAUAUAUGAUACAUAUUUUAUACGUUGAAGCAUAUGAAGAAUGAAGAAACAUGAGGGCAAAAAGAAAAUAGCAUCAUCGCUAUACAUAUUGGCAGCAAUGUUGUGCCUUAUUAUCUUUGAAGACAAAGGACGAUGGACAUCUUCAAAUUUAAAAAAGAAUAUAUCAAGAGGACAAGUAAGAAAAUAGUACUUCAAGAAGAAA